rnacentral:rRNA from 1 species
AUUGAACGCUAGCGGGAUGCUUUACACAUGCAAGUCGAACGGCAGCACGAGGAGCUUGCUCCUUGGUGGCGAGUGGCGGACGGUUGAGUAAUAUAUCGGAAUGUGCCCAGUAGCGGGGGAUAACUACUCGAAAGAGUGGCUAAUACCGCAUACGCCUACGGGGGAAAGGGGGGAGUCUUCGGACCUCUCACUAUUGGAGCAGCCGAUAUCAGAUUAGCUAGUUGGG